CAUACAUUAAUUUAAAAUUUGGGGAAGAUUUCAGUCACAUAUAUUCCAUGUUGGUGAAUUGAAAGUACAUUUGUAGGAAUAGGACAGAAGUUAUACUGUUCAGAUAGUGCAGGUUACAGACACACCGAGGGGAGGGAUGGUCAUAGCUCAGACAGUAUGGUGUUUAGAAUGAAUCAAGAACCGGUGCCAACAUAAUGAUCAGCUUGUGUGAGUUUUAGAAGGUGUUAAAAGAUAAAGAGAACACAGUGCUAAGUUUGUAUGGGUUUUAGAAGGUGUGAUGUUCCACAGAUGUGGGUCAUAAAACAUGCAGAAUGGGGAAGAAAGCAAACCUUUCAGCUAUGGUGGGUUAUGGAAGUUGUGUAGAGCUGGGCACAGAUGUAGAGAAGUGGUGUGACAAAAAGGCUCAGCUUGAACUGUUUAUAGAAGAUGUGAAGAGCUGGAGUGAGAAUAAUGCUUAGGUAAUGUAUUUUUAUCCUGCUUGUUUUAGCUCCUGAUUUUUCCCAAUAUAUCAUCAAUGUAUAGCGUGCAUGUUAACUCAAAAUAAUCUCAGCACGGGAGUCUUCAACCAUCCUGAUUUACUACUGCCAUCCCACAGUCUAUUUUCCUGUUCAGUUGAUUGUUAGUAAUUAAUAAUUAAUUAAUAAUGAGUUGUAAAAAAUGUAAUCCACCUAGCAUAUUCAUGUUAGAUAGAUAGAUAGAUAGACAGACAGACAGAUGAUAGAUAGAUAGAUAGACAGAUAGAUG